rnacentral:lncRNA from 1 species
AAGGCUUCAAAUUGGCUAAAUUAAAAUGGGCUAGGAUCCUUGGUUGGGACCCAAGCAGGUCCAUGAUAAGAUGAACCAAAUUCUAUAAUAAAUAGAGAAUAAUAUGAUUCCUAUAAUGUGGUUUUAGGAAUCAACGAUUUGCCACCAAGACUUUGGAUAAUGAAUUUACUGUAAGUAAUCUGUCUUAAUCUUAUCGUAGAUCUCGUAUUACGUUUUAUAAGGUGAACUAGUGUUUUUCAUACAAUUUGAAUUGUAUACAUGAUUGGUGAGAAAAGUAAGUAAUCUGUCUUAAUCUUAUCGUAGAUCUCGUAUUACGUUUUAUAAGGUGAACUAGUAUUUUUCAUACAAUUUGAAUUGUAUACAUGAUUGGUGAGAAAAGUAAGUAAUCUGUCUUAAUCUUAUCGUAGAUCUCGUAUUACGUUUUAUAAGGUGAACUAGUGUUUUUCAUACAAUUUGAAUUGUAUACAUGAUUGGUGAGAAAAGUAAGUAAUCUAUCUUAAUCUUAUCGUAGAUCUUGUAUUACGUUUUAUAAGAUGAACCAGUGUUUUUCAUACAAUUUGAAUUGUAUACAUGAUUUGUGAAGAAAGUAAGUAAUCUACUUUAAUCUUAUUACGGAUCAUAUGAGUGCUAUGGUUGUUAAGUUUUUAAAGUGUUAUUCAUGCAUGAUAUGUUAUGAUGGGUAAGUAACCUGUCCUAAUCCUGUUAUGGAUCAUGUCAUGUUAUUAAUGUUUUCCUAAGCAUUUAUUUUAAGUAUAUAUGUUUCAUGCAUGAUAUGUUACAAUGCAUAAGUAACUUGCAUGAUCCCAGAAGCUAUGGCUAUGUAUGCAAC